rnacentral:lncRNA from 1 species
GCGGGCUCUGUGGGGAUGUGUGCGGUCAGCCUGCCAUUUACACGCAGUCUGCAUCUGCCUCUGUAAAGGAAACACGUCAGUUAGUAUUUCUUGCAGGCUGGACAAGCAGCGCACGUCACGUUCAUUCUCCGAGACUCGUGAAGAUGCAGGUGGGGAGACAAAACAGGGUCGAGAGGCUCCGAACGCACAGGGCGCACCGUCACCCUGUUUGGUGCACGGCUUGACGAAAGCCACAAGCUACAGUGACUUGGUGGACAGUGGCAGGCAGGUCAGCGAGCUGACAGGACUUCGAGAGAGACAGGAAGCCCUGCCCCAGGGCCGCUGUGACAGAGCCAUCCAGCCCGGGCGUCUGAGGAAGCUCCGGUAUCUGCAGUGCACGGGAACUAAAUCAGUGUCUCACCAGCAUCGCUGGCACCUAAUCAGAGGGGAGAAUAGCUGCGUGAAAUAAAUCAGACACAGGAGCUUCAGCAUUGCGUGAACGCUCUUACACGAGAAGCCCAAAGAAUAAACGAAGAGCAAAAUAAAAUAAAUAAGAGGAAGUUGGAAGGUGGAUUUUGUUCAGACAGGAGGGGGUCA